rnacentral:ribozyme from 14 species
GAAAAAAGAAAAAGGCAAAAAGGCUUUUGAAAUAAAAAAGAAAAAAAAAAAGAAGAAAAACAA